GGGAUUGGGGAGGGGGAGGAAGGUCCAGCCUGCCCAGUGACUAUUAGUUUAACGGCCGCGGUAUUCUGACCGUGCAAAGGUAGCGCAAUCACUCGUCCUUUAAAUGGGGUCAAGUAUGAAAGGCUAGACGAGGGCUUAACUGUCUCCCCUUUAAAGUCAGUGAAAUUGAUCUGCCCGUGCAGAAGCGGGCAUUAAGAUACAAGACGAGAAGACCCUUUGGAGCUUUAGGUACAGGACUUAAUCAUAUCGAGCAAGUUAAUAAAGACUUCCAGCCUUAUGGCGUAUAAGACUCUACCUUCGGUUGGGGCGACCACGGAGAAAAGAAGAUCCUCCGAGUGGACUGGGGAAUCCCUAGAACCAAGAGAGACAUCUCUAAGCCACAGAACUUCUGACCAAUAAUGAUCCGGCCAAAAGGCCGACCAACGGACCAAGUUACCCUAGGGAUAACAGCGCAAUCCUCUCCCAGAGCCCAUAUCGACGAGGGGGUUUACGACCUCGAUGUUGGACCAGGACAUCCUAAUGGUGCAGCCGCUAUUAAGGGUUCGUUUGUUCAACGAUUAAAGUCCUACGUGAUCUGAGUUCCAGACCGGA
rnacentral:rRNA from 1 species